UGCUUAGAGCCUUGCUAAGUUGCUGAGGAUGGCUUCGAACUUGGGAUCCUCCUGUUUUAGCCUCCCAAGCUGCUGGAAUUACAGGCAUGUGUCGCCACACCCAGCUGGUGGAGUCCUUAUAAGAAGACAUUAGGACAUAGACAUUUAUAGAGGGAAGACCAUGUGAGGAUAUAGGGAGAAGGCAACAUCUAUAAGCCAAGAAAUCCAACUCUGCCAACACCUCGAUCUCAGACUUGAGCCUUCAGAACUGUGAGAAAGUAAAUCCUCUUUCUUUAAACCACCAGGCUGUGGUAUUUUGUUUUGGCAGCCCCAGAAAACCAAUAUAUGAUACUACUAGGCAACAAUCAAUUAUAUGCUGCCAUUUGAGGAUGCAGACUCAAAGGCACCAGAUUUUCCAGAGUAAAAUCUUUUGUUUUCGAGUAUUUGCAGCAGGGUUAGCUUCAUGUGACCUGUGCAGUCACAUAAGGUCUUGUACCCAGAAGUGGCCAACUGUCAUUUUAAAGCUCUCUUGUCAUCAUCUUACAAUUUUUAAAUUUUCAUUAAGGCACCUACUCACCUGGCCCUCAAACUAUAUAAGUAGUUACAAACUAUGUAACUAGUCCUAGUUGACAAAAAAUUAUAAAUUUAAAAUAUUCUGCAUGCUAGGAUUGUGGUGGAGUCAGGCAUGGUGGCACAUGCCUAUAAUCCCAGCUAAUUGGGAUGCUGAGGCAGGAGAAUCUCAAGUUUGAAUGAGACCAGCCCAAACAACUUAGUGCGAGCCUGUCUCAAAAUAAAAUUUAAAAGUGGCUGGGGAUGUAGUUCAACAGUAGAGUCUUUGCUUAGCAUAUGCAAAGCCCCAAAUUUAGUUUCUAGUACUGGAGAACAAAAAAAGAAGUUAAUAAAUGAUUACGAGAGCCCAAACAAAACAUGACCCUGGGACACUGCACUGAACUAUCUGUUGCUAGCUGGAAUAAGAUCUCCCAUUCCACAAUAAUCACAAGGAGGGAAUUUAUGAAGCCCAGAGGUUUCUGGAGUGGAAGAAAGUCACAGAUAUUCCCCAGAUGUGAUUUCCUGGGAUUCUACAUAUGCUAAUGUGGUCCUGGCCAAGAUUUUUUUCUCAGGGUUGAGCUCUGAGAACUUCACAAUAUGAAGAUCUCAAGGAAAGGCCAAACACAAGGAACAAAGUAUUUGGGGUCGAAAGCUAUGUCCUGCCUGUAUAUGAGUACUGCUGGAAGCUUUUGCAGGUUCAUCCACCCAACCCUGAGUUGAGUUUUGGGAAACCAGAGCUGAGGAUGCCAUCCCGUAUGACCAGCAACACCCUGAGGGACCAUAUGGCCUUCUCUAAAAGCAAGACAGAAUGGAUGCAUUUGCCUCCUGGUUCCUGCCUGGAGUUUGUAAACAGGACUUUUCUCCCUUGUGCUGAACCAAUCCUGGGAUUCUUAAGGCAUUCUCAGUUGGGGCCUGCAAGACACACCAAAAGACUCCUCCAAGUCGUGUAAGGGAGAAAACGAAACACUCCACUGGCCUCUAUCAGGGGAAGUUAAUUUUUCCCCUUUUCUGCACAUUUUCCAAACUCUAUAACUCUAAUUUGCAGUACAGAAAAUAAGCUUUUAUAUUUAUUAUUUUUUAUGCUUUGGAUAUAGAGUAUCCCCAAAGGAACAAUGUGUUGUGCUAAGAGUUGUGAGCCUAUUGUGGGAAAGGUUGAGAUUAAAUUGCUGCAAGAAGAGGUUCAUUUACACCUGCUUGGUGAUCUAGGAGCCCCAGGUCAGAGCAGCACCUACUUUCUUCCUCCCCACCAGGAAAGAGCAGAGUUGGGGGUGGUGACCCCAAAAUUAAGAGGUUUGGAAUUCUAUAUGUAGCUUUUCUAAGUCCUAAAUGACAAUUCCCUUAAUCAUUUGGAAUAUAAGAAACUUGGCUAAAGGUUUUAGCUUAAAGCCAUUAAUUUAAAAGAAAUGAAAACAUAGUUCUACAUGGAAACUUGUACAUGGAUGUUCACAGCAAAAUUUUCAUAAUAGCCAAGAAAGGAAAAGAAUUCAAAUGUCUGUUAACUAAUGAAUGGAAAAGCAUAAUGUGGUACAUCCAUAUAAUGGAAUAUGUAACUAUUCAGCAAUAAAAAGAAAUGAAAUAUUGAUACAUUCAACAACAUGGAGGAACUGUAAAACAUUGUGCUAAGUAAAAGAAUGAACACAUGUUGUAUGAUUCUGUAUCAAAAUUGCAUGAUCCCAUAAUGAAAUUGUACAACAUGUAUUGUGAUUAGUAUACAUAUCUGUAGAAACAGAAAGCAGAUUAGUGGUUGGCUAGGUCUUGGGAAGAAAUAGGGGGCAUUGGAGAGUGACAGCAAAGUGGUGCAGAGUUUCUUUGUGGGAUGAUAGAAAUGUUCUAAAAUUAAUUGAGAUGGCAGUUGUAUCAUCUGGUGAAUGCAUUGAAAACCAUUGAGUCUUGCUGUAAGAGUGAGUCGCAUGAUGUGUGAAUUAUAUCUCAAUAAAGACGUGAAAAGAUUUUUUUAAAAAAUGAUACUUCAAAAAAAUAUCCACUGGUUUAUCUCUCUUCCUGAAGCUGAUCACUUGAGAAAAUGUGUUCAAAAUAAAAACAGAUUUUUAUGGGAUAACUGAAAUCAGAAUGUGAAAAAGUGAUUUUUUUCUUAGGUGGGAAGACUAAUUUGCAUGUCUAUGUGUACUCAAAAUACCUGUACCUGUAAUUCUUUUGAACUUUGCUGAAAAUUUUUUCCUUAGCCUGCAAUCAUUAAAAUAUGUUUAAGCAAUGAUA